rnacentral:rRNA from 1 species
UGACCUCGGAUCAGGUAGGAUUACCCGCUGAACUUAAGCAUAUCAAUAAGCGGAGGAAAAGAAACCAACAGGGAUUGCCCCAGUAACGGCGAGUGAAGCGGCAACAGCUCAGAUUUGGAAUCUGGCCUUCGGGCCCGAGUUGUAAUCUGGAGAGGAUGCUUCUGGCGCGGUGCCUUCCGAGUUCCCUGGAACGGGACGCCGGAGAGGGUGAGAGCCCCGUACGGUUGGACACCUAGCCUUUGUGAAGCUCCUUCGACGAGUCGAGUAGUUUGGGAAUGCUGCUCAAAAUGGGAGGUAAAUUUCUUCUAAAGCUAAAUAUUGGCCAGAGACCGAUAGCGCACAAGUAGAGUGAUCGAAAGAUGAAAAGCACUUUGAAAAGAGAGUUAAAAAGUACGUGAAAUUGUUGAAAGGGAAGCGCCCGUGGCCAGACUUGCGCCGCGCGGACCAUCCAGCGUUCUCGCUGGUGCACUCCGCGCGGCGCAGGCCAGCAUCGGUUUUCCUAGGGGGAUAAAGGUCGCGGGAACGUAGCUCCUCUGGGAGUGUUAUAGCCCGUGGCGUCAUGCCCCUGGGGGGACCGAGGACCGCGCUUCGGCAAGGAUGCUGGCGUAAUGGCACCGGCGACCCGUCUUGUUUU